rnacentral:lncRNA from 1 species
AGUUCAUUCCCGGGAGAGCCCCGGGCGCAGGACAGAGCGGUGGAGGGGCGCCUGGGAGCUCUGGGGGACACCAAGAGAAGAGAGGUUAGGGCCAGUGCGCAGCAAACGGGGAGGAACUACGACGCGCUGGGUAGAAAGAGUAAGAGAGGCGCACCCACUUUGCUGGUGAGGGGGGCACACGGGGAGCCUAAGAAAGGCCUAAAGAGGUAGUGGGUGUGAGCCAGCCUCGGGCGCGUUAAAAAGGGGGCGCCGGAGGGAGGCAAGGAGAGGAAGUUGGGUGUAGGAAGAAGCGAGAGGAAACUGUUGCCUGGACAGAGCGUGCCGUGCCAAAGCGCGGAAACGGGAUCAAGGAGGGGGCAUCAGGAAUCGCCUGGGGACCCCCCGGAGAGUGGCGGAAGCGGUGCCCUUGGGCGCAGCAAAGAGAGAAGGGAGCACAGGCUGAGAUAGAGACAGUCCUGGGCGCUGGAGAGCAGGAGCCCCCGGAGCGGCAGGGAAAGGAACGUAGAGCCUGCAUGCUCGGGGUAUGAGCUUACUGCGCUCGCUAGGGUGGCGCGCACUGGGGCUCUAGAAAAGAGGGUUGAGAAGCCCCGGGCAAGUGCCUAGGAAGGUCAGAGGAGUCAGCAAAGUCCACGGAAGAACUUCCCCGGGUUGGAGAGGAAACGCACCCUGGGAGCUGGAAAGAAGAGGAAAGCUAGCCUGGGGGAAGCUUGAUCAGGGCUCUGAGUACCACGAGGAGUGCAGAGGAGGUGCUGAUGAUUGCGGGGAGAGCUCUGAGAGCCCGAGAAAGAUGGGGAAACUGAAGCCCUAGAGGAAAAGAAGACUAAAUGUAUUACCAUCUGACCCACUUCCUGGCCAGCCUGUUCACCUGUCUGCUGUUCUUCAUUGUGGCAGGUGUAUGUGUGAGUUUGCAGCUCAAUCCUGGCCAAGGGGAUCCAAGGACUGCUGAAGAGGCAUGUCUGCACAUGUCACCUAGAACAUCUCCAGCCAUCAUGUGAUCUCUGGGGGAGGCAUUCCCAACUCUCUGAGAGAAGCAGACCAGAAAGAUGGAAAGAAAGCACCUGGCUCCAGGAUGAUGACAUUGAGCCGAUGAAUUAACCACCUUUGUGCUGCUCUAACCUUCAGAGUUCACCUUAACAUGAGAAAAUAAAACCCUUAUUGCUUAGCCA